rnacentral:rRNA from 1 species
AUUGAACGCUGGCGGCAGGCCUAACACAUGCAAGUCGAGCGGAUGAAGGGAGCUUGCUCCUGGAUUCAGCGGCGGACGGGUGAGUAAUGCCUAGGAAUCUGCCUGGUAGUGGGGGAUAACGUCCGGAAACGGGCGCUAAUACCGCAUACGUCCUGAGGGAGAAAGUGGGGGAUCUUCGGGCCUCACGCUAUCAGAUGAGCCUAGGUCGGAUUAGCUAGUUGGUGGGGUAAAGGCCUACCAAGGCGACGAUCCGUAACUGGUCUGAGAGGAUGAUCAGUCACACUGGAACUGAGACACGGUCCAGACUCCCACGGGAGGCAGCAGUGGGGAAUAUUGGACAAUGGGCGAAAGCCUGAUCCAGCCAUGCCGCGUGUGUGAAGAAGGUCUUCGGAUUGUAAAGCACUUUAAGUUGGGAGGAAGGGCAGUAAGUUAAUACCUUGCUGUUUUGACGUUACCAACAGAAUAAGCACCGGCUAACUUCGUG